ensembl:lncRNA
UUUUUAAAUUACAAAUUUAUUGCAAAUAUAGAAAUAGAUCUUUUGUACAGAAAUUGCAAAGGGAAAUGUUAAUAUCAGCAACAAAUAUUUAAAGAAAGCGGAAAGCCAAGAUUUGCUGCCAUCAGUCAAAAAAAUUCCAACCACAGGAAGUGGCCAUUUUCAACUCUUCAUUUUAGACAAAGACCUCCUGAUGCUGUCAGCUAGGCAAGACUCACAUUUCGACAUAAAUUUUACACACAUUUCCAAACAGGAACUAAAACCAUAUGAUAAUUGUGAGAAUUUGCCUUAGACCUUGGCCUUACAGAAAUCACACAGAUGGUGGUCGCGCCUCAGCUCAGUAAUUAAACUACAUAUUACAUAGUUGUGACCACAAAUACUGACACUUUUAGGGGGCUUUUCAUGCUGCUUUACACUUAUUUUCAGCUGGUACAACCUGCAAGAAAGCCAAAUGCUUCUAAUUUUUCUUUUGAGAGUUUAAAAAAAUGAAUGAAAAAUGCUUCUGUAAAAAACAAAAAAUAUUUUAUAUACAGUAAACGAAAAUAAAACAUCACCAUAACAAAUGAAAAGCAAUGAUUUAAGGACUGAAAAAUUACUGUACAUCAGAAACCUGCACUGUACUUUUCUAAAACAUGGCUUUAUUGGUCACAGUGUGCAUGUGGAAUGUGAUAUUGGUGCUCAGCAGAAUUUCAAUAAUUGAUCAGCAAUUUUGAUAUUGCUAGUCGUCUUUUUCAAUAGUAAUUUCUAUAUAUGGGUUCUUUCUCAUUUCUCUCUAACACUAGAUGUUUCGAAAUUGUGUUUACUUGACGGCAAAUAUGAACAAUUAAUGCUUUUGUUGCUGUAAGGCAAGAAUGGCACUAUUAGCAUUUGAACAGUCCACAUUUAUUUCCUCAGUGAUUUGAGGAGGGCCCUUGAUUCUGUGGACAACGGGCCAUUUUUGCUGUAGAGUUUUCAAUCUCUGGCACUGACAAGGCCAAUCAUUCUGGAUUGGGGAUUAUUAUAGCACUGGGCUGUGUGACGCAGCCUCUGCUGUUUGUGAGUACAGAAAACAUUUCCACUGAUCCUAAUCAUUGGCUCCAAGUACUGAACAGCAUUUGGUCUCACCACAUUGCAACCUUUUUUGCAAUUUUCACAGCUUUUGGAUCAGGGGUUAGAGAAAUGGGAGCUCUGAGUUACAGAUUACCCUCCAGUACCAAUAUAGAACUGAUCUGAUUACAGUGCCAUUUCACCCAAUUAAAACCAAUCUCUAUAAAUUGGCUACCCAACAUAGCCUGGGCCCUUUUGAAAAGCAGAGGACCCAACUUAGUCCUGGGUUAAUGCAUUCAAUGUUCUCUGUGUAAUUGACACAAGCAGCCCUCUUAAAGUUUUGGCAAAGACUGGGCCACAAAAUGGGCAAUGAAUAUCUCUGCGGGAGGCGCUCAGCGUUAUCGCUGCAGAAAGUAAACAUGGCUAUGAUUUAUGGCUUGCUGCCAUGCACAAACCCUAUAGCAAUAACUAACAUAGCAGGAGAGCCACAGUGAGUGUUACUAACAUGUUACAGGAUGGGUAAGAAAAUAAAAUGCACCAGAGUCUUUGUGGUUUUCUUUUCUAAGCGUGCGCUCUGUUUUUUAAGUGCUGCAGAAGAAUAAGUACAAGAACCUCAGUUUCAGUUUCAGCUCCUAUAAUGGCACAGCUAUGUCUUUUCUUUGAUUCAACUUCAGACCACCUGUUUUGCACAUUCAAGAAGUUUUCCAGCAGAAGAACUACUUAAUUAAAUAGUCUAUUAUUCAAGGAUGAUGAUAAAUGGCUGAUUUACAACUGGCCGGAUACAGGGUGAAUUUAAUAAACUAGUUGGAUAGAAAGCCAGCAGGCUCUCAGACCAGAGCAGGAGGAAUGAAAAUCAUUCAUUUGCCUAACAGCAAGGGGGCUGAGGCUGAGGGAGAAGCUGCUGAGGCUGCAUUAAUUUGCCAGUGAAUGCUAACUGAAUGAUUGAGAUUAGGUUAAGAAUAUCCACAGUGUGCUUGCGUCACUACAAAAAGAAAAAAGAAAAAAAGGAAAACAUUUUUUUUUUUUUUGCCAUGGCUGACAGACAGAGUAUGAUCGGGUAACUCUCAAGCUUGAAAGAUAGCUUUGCAUGGAGAAGAAAGAAGAAGAACCGAGAGCAGAUGGAUGUAAACAACCAGCAGCUUAUUAUAUAUUUACCCUCUUUUUAUACACCUGUUGCUAAAGAUUAGCAUAUCUGCAGAGGUAACUGUCAGUACACUUUAUAAUACAACCACCCAAAUGAAAACCAGUAGGCAAGAAUCAAAAAUGUAAGUAUAACAUCACCAUUGUUUUAGAAAAAAAAAAACUAAGGCUAAAACCUAGAUGUUCAAAUCAAAGGUACUUGACAAUAUUUGAGCCCCUACAGUUUUUGUUUUCGAUGUACGUCCACUCAUUGUACACAACAAUAUAUUUUGUCUCUCAAAAAAUACAGGGAAUCAUGCAAAUAUAACAACUUUUUCUUUUAUGUAGUACACUAUGUUAAGUUUUCUCUGUUCUUAAACCUUUAUAACAUAAAUCAUCGCAAGUACUAAAAGUCAGUCUCUUUGUCCCCAAUAAUUUCCCAAUAACCUCCCCCCUACACCAAGAAAAAACAAACAAACAAACAAAAAAGAAACUAAAAAAAGAAAAGAAGACAACUAAACUGAAAAAUAGGUACACAUAGACAUAUCAAUAGAUCAGGCUGAGUUAUAAAAAAACAUCCAUAGAAGCAUUUUUAACCUUACUAUAUAUUUUUUUCUUUUAUCUAGUGUACAAAAUUCACAGAUAUUUCACAGAUUCUAUUAGUCCUUUGUCCCUCUUUGGAAACUGGGUCCGAUCAGCCCAUUUGGGCUUACUGUUAUAGGAUAGAAAUAGGAUUUUCAAAUGCUCUUCUGCUCAGAAACCACAUUAGGGGUAACUUGUACAUUCAGGUGAAGGAUAGUAGUUGUCACUGAAUGCUUUCAGCUUACAGAUUUUUACAGUUAGAUUUUCCAGAGAGCUUGGCAGAUGGAAAGGAAGGGCUGGCGGUUCUCAGCCUGUCAGUGCUGUGUGAAGAGUGAGCAAGAAAUUAGUCACACAAAGCUAGGUUUCGUUUGUUUUUGCCGAAUUCCUUUCACCGUUUUACGAAAAUACAAUUUCACAUUAGGCUAACACACACACACACACACACACACACACACACACA